CUUGGAAGUGAGACAAGAGGGUGCCAUCAGCCCUGCAGCAUGCUGCUCAGAGAUAGCUCUCCCGGAGAUGCUGGACUUCAUGCUGCCAACAGGGCACAGCAAUCCUUUCUGGGGGUAGGGACAAGGACUUCAGUGAAUGGGAUCUCAGACUCCAAAGAGUUCCUCAUAAUGGUAAAGUGUGGCCAUUGGGGAAGACUCAAAUGCAACUAUGGACAGUCUCCAGGCAGGAAAGAGCAGAGCAUAUUUAUUACAUCUGUGACCCAGACAUGUAACAAAAAGUUUGGAAGAACCGCUGCUUAGAAGAUUUCGCAUUAGAUGAAUUGGAAUGAUUAAAUAAACAUAAAAUCUUAUACUGGAAUCCAAGCAACCUAAACACACCCUAGAUAUAUUAACAUCCAAUGCUGAAUUCCGAAAGAGAAAUGAUCAUGGUGCAUUGAGAGAACUUGUAGCUGGAAGCAAUUCAGUGUGGGCCUGACCUCACCACAGG
rnacentral:lncRNA from 1 species